rnacentral:rRNA from 1 species
UACGUAGGGGGCGAGCGUUGUCCGGAUUUAUUGGGCGUAAAGAGCUCGUAGGCGGUUCGAUAAGUCGGACGUGAAAUCUCCACGCUCAACGUGGAGGGGCCGUUCGAUACUGUCGUGACUCGAGUCCGGUAGGGGAGUGUGGAAUUCCCGGUGUAGCGGUGAAAUGCGCAGAGGAUCGGGAGGAACACCCGUAGCGAAGGCGGCACUCUGGGCCGGUACUGGACGCUGAGGAGCGAAAGCGUGGGGAGCAAACAGGG